rnacentral:rRNA from 1 species
AUUGAACGCUGGCGGCAUGCCUUACACAUGCAAGUCGAACGGCAGCGGACCUUCGGGUGCCGGCGAGUGGCGAACGGGUGAGUAAUAUAUCGGAACGUACCUUUCAGUGGGGGAUAACGUAGCGAAAGUUACGCUAAUACCGCAUAUUCUGUGAGCAGGAAAGCAGGGGAUCGCAAGACCUUGCGCUGAUUGAGCGGCCGAUAUCAGAUUAGCUAGUUGGUGAGGUAAAGGCUCACCAAGGCGACGAUCUGUAGCGGGUCUGAGAGGAUGAUCCGCCACACUGGAACUGAGACACGGUCCAGACUCCUACGGGAGGCAGCAGUGGGGAAUUUUGGACAAUGGGCGCAAGCCUGAUCCAGCCAUGCCGCGUGAGGGAAGAAGGUCCUCUGGAUUGUAAACCUCUUUUGGCAGGAAACAAACCUAGCGCUAUACGCGCAGCUGAGGGUACCUGCAGAAUAAGCACCGGCUAACU